GAUGAACGCUAGCGGCAGGCCUAAUACAUGCAAGUCGAACGGUAAGUAUUUUAGCAAUAGAAUACGAGAGUGACGUACGGGUGCGUAACACGUAUGCAACCUACCCUUUACAGGAGGAUAGCUCGGGGAAACUCGAAUUAACCCUCCAUGAGAUCACAGUGCGGCAUCACACAGUGAUUAAAACUCCGGUGGUAAAGGAUGGGCAUGCGUCUGAUUAGUUAGUUGGCGGGGUAACGGCCCACCAAGACGAUGAUCAGUAGGGGAACUGAGAGGUUGAUCCCCCACACUGGCACUGAGAUACGGGCCAGACUCCUACGGGAGGCAGCAGUAGGGAAUAUUGGUCAAUGGAUGGAAGUCUGAACCAGCCAUGCCGCGUGCAGGAAGAAGGCCUUCUGGGUUGUAAACUGCUUUUGCCAGGGGAUAAAAAGACCAUGCGUGGUUAAUUGAAGGUACCUGGUGAAUAAGCCACGGCUAACUACGUGCCAGCAGCCGCGGUAAUACG
rnacentral:rRNA from 1 species